rnacentral:rRNA from 1 species
GAGGCUGCCGGUGUUAAACCGGAGGAAGUGGGAUGACGUCAAGUCCUCAUGGCCUUUAUGCUUAGGGCUACACACGUGCUACAAUGGGUGGUACAAAGAGAAGCCAACUCGCGAGAGCGCGCCAAUCUCAAAAAAGCCAUCCUCAGUUCGGAUUGGAGUCUGCAACUCGACUCCAUGAAGUUGGAAUCGCUAGUAAUCGCGGAUCAGCAUGCCGCGGUGAAUACGUUCCCGGGCCUU